UGCAGAAUCCCGCGAAUCAUCGAGUUUUUGAACGCAAGUUGCGCCCGAAGCCGUCAGGCCGAGGGCACGCCUGCCUGGGCGUCACGCAACGUCGCCACCCCGCCCCUCCCCGACGGGGACGGCGCGGGGAGGCGGAUAUUGGCCUCCCGUGCGCUCCCGCUCGCGGUUGGCCCAAAACGUAGCCCCCCGGCGAUGGCAGCCACGGCACUCGGUGGUCGAAAGCGCCAGCUCCUCGGAAACCGCGGUGGCGAGCCUCGUCGACGCGGGGCGGAAGGCCCCGACGCGAGCGAGCGUCCUCACGAAGCGACCCCAGGUCAGGCGGGAACACCCGCUGAGUUUAAGCAUAUCAAUAAGCGGAGGAAAAGAAACUUACGAGGAUUCCCCUAGUAACGGCGAGCGAACCGGGAAGAGCCCAGCUUGAGAAUCGGUCGCCCUCGGCGUCCGA
rnacentral:rRNA from 1 species